rnacentral:rRNA from 1 species
AGAGUUUGAUCCUGGCUCAGAACGAACGCUGGCGGCGUGGCUAAGGCAUGCAAGUCGAACGGACCACGUGGAAGGUAACGGAAGCGUGGUUAGUGGCGCACGGGUGAGUAAUGCAUGGACAACGUACCCCGGACACAGGGAUAGCGGCUGCGAAAGUGCCGGUAAUACCUGAUAAUUUCGCGGAAUCGCAUGGUUUCGCGAACAAAGCUCCGACGGUCUGGGAGUGGUCCAUGUCCUAUCAGCUAGUUGGUGGGGUAACGGCCUACCAAGGCAUCGACGGGUAGUGGGCGUGAGAGCGCGACCCACCACAUCGGGACUGAGACACGGCCCGGACACCUACGGGUGGCUGCAGCAACGAAUCUUCCGCAAUGGGCGCAAGCCUGACGGAGCGACGCCGCGUGUUGGAAGAAGUCCUUCGGGAUGUAAACAACUGUCAGGGGUGAGGAAAACUGACCAGCCCCAGAGGAAGCACCGGCUAACUCCGUGCCAGCAGCCGCGGUAAUACGGAGGGUGCGAGCGUUGUUCGGAAUCACUGGGCUUAAAGCGCGUGUAGGCGGGACGGAAGGUGUCUUGUGAAAUCCCUCGGCUCAACCGAGGAAUUGCUAGGCAAACCGUCGUUCUUGAGGCAGGUAGAGGCAACUGGAACCAUGGGUGGAGCGGUGAAAUGCGUAGAUAUCCAUGGGAACGCCUGUGGCGAAAGCGGGUUGCUGGGCCUGUCCUGACGCUGAGACGCGAAAGCGUAGGUAGCAAACGGGAUUAGAUACCCCGGUAGUCUACGCCGUAAACGAUGCGCACUAGGCAUGAGGACGUCUGACCGUAAUUGUGCCGAAAGAAAACCGUUAAGUGCGCCGCCUGGGGAGUACGGCCGCAAGGCUAAAACUCAAAGGAAUUGACGGGGGCUCACACAAGCGGUGGAGCAUGUGGAUUAAUUCGAAGCAACGCGAAGAACCUUACCUGGGUUUGACAUUCACGGAUGCCCUCUUGGAAACAGGAGUAAGCUGCCUUCGGGUGAAACGUGGACAGGUGUUGCAUGGCUGUCGUCAGCUCGUGCUGUGAAGUGUCGGGUUAAGUCCCUUAACGAGCGAAACCCUUGUCGCUAGUUGCCAUCGGGUCAUGCCGGGAACUCUAGCGAGACUGCCGGCGUCAAGCCGGAGGAAGGUGGGGACGACGUCAAGUCAUCAUGGCCUUUAUGUCCAGGGUGUCACACGUGCUACAAUGGCGCGUACAGAGCGAAGCGAGACCGCGAGGUGGAGCAAAUCGCAGAAAGCGCGCCCCAGUUCGGAUUGGAGUCUGCAAUUCGACUCCAUGAAGUUGGAAUCGCUAGUAAUCGCGGAUCAGCCACGCCGCGGUGAAUGUGUUCCUGAGCCUUGUACACACCGCCCGUCAAGUCAUGGAAGCUGGGAGCACCCGAAGUCCGCUUAGCCAACCGCAAGGGGGCGGCGGCCGACGGUGAGUUCGGUGACUGGGACUAAGUCGUAACAAGGUAACC